GAUGAACGCUGGCGGCGUGCCUAAUACAUGCAAGUCGAGCGAACAGAUAAGGAGCUUGCUCCUUUGAAGUUAGCGGCGGACGGGUGAGUAACACGUGGGUAACCUACCUAUAAGACUGGGAUAACUUCGGGAAACCGGAGCUAAUACCGGAUAACAUUUAGAACCGCAUGGUUCUAAAGUGAAAGAUGGUUUUGCUAUCACUUAUAGAUGGACCCGCGCCGUAUUAGCUAGUUGGUAAGGUAACGGCUUACCAAGGCGACGAUACGUAGCCGACCUGAGAGGGUGAUCGGCCACACUGGAACUGAGACACGGUCCAGACUCCUACGGGAGGCAGCAGUAGGGAAUCUUCCGCAAUGGGCGAAAGCCUGACGGAGCAACGCCGCGUGAGUGAUGAAGGGUUUCGGCUCGUAAAACUCUGUUAUUAGGGAAGAACAAAUGUGUAAGUAACUGUGCACAUCUUGACGGUACCUAAUCAGAAAGCCACGGCUAACUACGUGCCAGCAGCCGCGGUAAUACGUAGGUGGCAAGCGUUAUCCGGAAUUAUUGGGCGUAAAGCGCGCGUAGGCGGUUUCUUAAGUCUGAUGUGAAAGCCCACGGCUCAACCGUGGAGGGUCAUUGGAAACUGGGAAACUUGAGUGCAGAAGAGGAAAGUGGAAUUCCAUGUGUAGCGGUGAAAUGCGCAGAGAUAUGGAGGAACACCAGUGGGCGAAGGCGACUUUCUGGUCUGUAACUGACGCUGAUGUGCGAAAGCGUGGGGAUCAAACAGGAUUAGAUACCCUGGUAGUCCACGCCGUAAACGAUGAGUGCUAAGUGUUAGGGGGUUUCCGCCCCUUAGUGCUGCAGCUAACGCAUUAAGCACUCCGCCUGGGGAGUACGACCGCAAGGUUGAAACUCAAAGGAAUUGACGGGGACCCGCACAAGCGGUGGAGCAUGUGGUUUAAUUCGAAGCAACGCGAAGAACCUUACCAAAUCUUGACAUCCUUUGAAAACUCUAGAGAUAGAGCCUUCCCCUUCGGGGGACAAAGUGACAGGUGGUGCAUGGUUGUCGUCAGCCCGUGUCGUGAGAUGUUGGGUUAAGUCCCGCAACGAGCGCAACCCUUAAGCUUAGUUGCCAUCAUUAAGUUGGGCACUCUAGGUUGACUGCCGGUGACAAACCGGAGGAAGGUGGGGAUGACGUCAAAUCAUCAUGCCCCUUAUGACUUGGGCUACACACGUGCUACAAUGGACAAUACAAAGGGCAGCUAAACCGCGAGGUCAUGCAAAUCCCAUAAAGUUGUUCUCAGUUCGGAUUGUAGUCUGCAACUCGACUACAUGAAGCUGGAAUCGCUAGUAAUCGUAGAUCAGCAUGCUACGGUGAAUACGUUCCCGGGUCU
rnacentral:rRNA from 1 species